rnacentral:rRNA from 1 species
UACGUAGGGGGCUAGCGUUGUCCGGAUUAUUGGGCGUAAGAGCGUGUAGGCGUUAGGUAGGUCCGUUGUGAAAACUCGAGGCUCAACCUCGAGACGCCGAUGGAAACCCCCUAACUAGAGUCCGGAAGAGGAGACUGGAAUUCCUGGUGUAGCGGUGAAAUGCGCAGAUAUCAGGAGGAACACCGGUGGCGAAAGGCGGG